GUUCUACUGGUGACGGGGAAUGGUACUCAGGUCCUCACACUUGAAAAACAAACAGUGCCCACCAUGCACUUGUCUCUUUCCAGUCUGUUCUUUCCCCUGAGGUUGUGUAGCCAUGGAAACAGGAACGCUGCUACUGGGAUCAGAACAAACUAGACCCUGCAAAGUUUUGAGGAUGGAUUCUAGGACAGCAUGCAUCUAGGCAAGCGCUAUACCACAGAGUUCAAGCAUUAGCCCACUUGAUGUCUCAUUUCCAAUAUGAAACACUGUCCAAGCUUGAAGAUCUCCCUGGACACAGUUCUGAUGGUCAUCUCCUGUGCCUCUCAGUAUUAUCCGUGGGGACUUCCCUUGUGUCUCAUGGGACACACUAGAUGGGCUGUUUUAAUUCAGCCUUACUGCUGAGCGGGGAAGGCUGGACAGAGUUCUCCACUAUGGCGUCUGUCUUUUGUGAAGAUUCUAAAUGGGGCAGGAAGUGACCUGAGCUAACCAUGCUUCUUCCAAAGCUACUUUUCAAGAAGAGAGCAUUUGAGGACAAAAAUUGAAUUAUAGAAACGGAGCGAGGAAAAUGAGAUGAAGCUAUUUUUGAACAGUGGCUGAAGAUAUACUUGGAAAGAGAGAUGACUGUCAUAGGGUUGAGUUCCUGGAAGCGGACUUUGCUUCAUGGAUUCUAGUCUCCUGUACCCAAAGGUGGAAAUCUUCCUCUUAAAAUUCUGCCUAGAAGUGAUAGACACAUUUCAAACUUCAGUGGGAUCUCAUUGGAAGCUCUGGAGUAGAUAUCAUGCCACACUAAUUGCAAGAG